UUGGUCGUUGUUUAAGAGCGAUAGCGUGCAGUCGUGUCCAGUUCAAAAUAUAUAUACUUCUACUUCUCCGUUUUGAUGGCAAUCUUUUAUGAAGAAUAGUAACUGUGGUCUAACAUCACCAUUCAAACUGUAAGCUGCUGCAGACCCAUCUCUGGAAUUGUUAAUUAUAUUUAUAAAGAUUAUAUUAAUAAAGAAUAAUCAAAGCUA